AUCCUUCAUGUUAAAAAAAAAAAAAAACCCUUAGUGUGAUGAUUAGGUUUCCACAUCACUGUGUGAGCCGUGGCUGCCUCCUGCAAACCUUUUUACAAUGGUGGGUCAGCACAGUACCCAUAUGAUG
rnacentral:snoRNA from 1 species